UGAUUCAGAUCACUCCGUCCUGGAGCCAAGGGCAUCAUACCUAAAUAUAAGGGAAUACCUGCCAGUGAAGCUGCCUCAUGUCCUGAGAAUUGCAGUGAGAUGAUAUUCAACAAAAUGAGAGUGGAGGAUUCUGGAUCUUCAUUGGCUAAUGAGAAGGAAAGAAUAAACCUCCUGCCAAUCCCUGAACUCUCUGUAGAGUCCCAGGAGCUAAUUUAGGAGGCAACUGCUGUACAGUUCAGUUGGACAUCUGCACAAUCACAUAGUGUCAAAUCCUGAGGCCUUUACUCAGGGCUGUAUUCUGCCCCUAUGUGUUAAUACCAGGUAAGGGGCAGGAAACUCCCUGACGUUCCUCUUGCAGAGUUUCCUCCUGAAGUAUGUUCUGCUGUGAGAGGUGUAAUUUCUCUCGUCUGUGACCCUAGAAUUCGUCACGUUCUCUCAGGAUACUCUCUUCCUUAUCCAUUUGUGUUAGCCAUUUGCCUCUUCUCUCAAUAUCCCAUAAUAUUGGGAUUGCUUUUAUCCAAGGGCAAUACCAAUGUGCAGGGAAUAUUGGCAGUGUCUAUACAGAUUUGUCCAGUCUCCCAACUCAGAUUUUGUCUCCCCUCAAAAAAAUAAAAAUGGAUGGAGGAAGAAAGGUGUGAUCCCACAUAGACAGGAUUUUUGCAAAGGAUUUUGGUAGUUGUUUUCUAAGACCAUAUGAUUUCACUAGGCAAAAACCUCUGCUAUACCAGCAAGCGCCUGCCAUCUCACAUUCAGUUGUGCAUUUUCGAACCUGCAAUGAAACUUAGGCUGCUCCUCAUACCAACCUCAUAAUCUGAAAUUUUAAUACCGGUUGAUGAUUCUGCAAGUUACAAGGAUGGUUAUUCAGGAAUACUAAGUAGUCUGACUGGGAACACUGAUUGUCUAAAGCCUCGUUCUCAUUGGCCAAAUGGACCUUUUGAUGAUAAUACACCAACUUCAAGUGGGCAGAGCUGGGGUAAUGUCACUGGAAGAGCAAAACACCUUCUGCCUAUUGUUAAAUGGGAUGGAUAGGAGUGUACGUAGGAAGGCAGUUAAAGGAGAAGGAUAUUAGAAGCAGCUAGUGGGGAGCAGGGGAGGGUAGAGAGGAGGAUCAGUUUUUAAAAAUGUAUUUUUUUUUCAGUUUCCCUUGUCACCCCCUUCAAAGUGUUGAGCUCCCCUUUCAGAAGUAGUAUAAGACCUCCAGCCACUUGGUUUUGCAAAAGCUAAAACUAAACUGGAACUGUUCAGUACUGCGUUCUGACUAUAAAUAGCAACUCUAAAGAGGCUUUUGAGCUAGGGCAGGGGUGUGCAAACUUUUCCAGUUGUACCCCACUCCUCUUACCAUUAAUAGAAUCUGUCCGUGCGCACCCCUCACCCCAUUACUGCACAGCCAAGACUUCCUCAGCAGCCGAGCUUGGGCUGAAGGCAGAGCUGGAGGCGGAACUGAGGAUGGGGGAAAUAUCUGGGGCUAGAGGCGGAGCUGGUCUGGGAGUGGAGAGAGAAUGAGGGCAUUGCUGGGCAGGGGGCGGAGUGGAGGUGGGGAUGGGGGCAGAGCGUGAUUGGGAGUGGAGUUGGACCUAGAGGCAGAGCAGGACUGGAGGCUGAACAGGGUUAAGGGAGGAGCAGGGCUGGAAGCAUGGCGGUCCCUCCCUACCCCCUGUGGGGGCUAGCCCGAGUCACACUGCACGCCCCCUGAACUGUCCUCUGUGUCCCCCUACGGGGGCAUGCCCCACAGUUUGGGGACCACUGAGCUAGGGUUCCUGACAGUUCUUCUUACCCUAAUAGGGAAAGACACAUAGUUUAAUCAAACAUACUAAAAAAUAGGGAAAGCAUAUUUAACAUUUUAAGAAUUAUCAUAGUGGAAGGAUUCAUUAUGUUUAUAAUUGUUUUUUCAAAAAGUGAAAUGUAAAUUCUCAAGCCCUGUUCUGCCAUCAGUAAAUAAUGCCAGAUUGUGUAGACGUGCUCACAGAUUAGUGGAGCCAUACACCAGCACCUUUGUGAAUGCACACAGCCUGUGUGCUUUAUUGCUAUAUAUUCACUUAUUAUGACAAGUAGUAUUUCCAUUUUUUAAUCGCUUUACUAUCUAUAUUUAUGAUUCUUAAUGUUCUAUAGCUCAAUUACUCUUUGAUGUACUGGAACUCCAUUACACAGAUAAACUGUGCUGAGUACAAAUGAUCUACUGUACCAGGAGGGAUCUCUGCAUUUGCAUAUUAAUGACAUUCUAUAAAAGUGAUGGCUUAGACCAUUAGAAAAUAGAACUAUUAAAAUGUAUGGAACAGAGUUUAUAUGUCUAAUUGCACAUCAGAUGAAAGGGAAGUCCUUUUGAGCUAAACAAGGAAACCAGGAUAGCUUCUUAAAAGAACUAUUGCUAAUCUAAACUUACUAGAUGCUGGGAAACAAGAAAAAGAGAACAAUGCAUUUGUAGAUUGUCCCUGAUUUCAAAGCUUAGGAUAUGAAGGACAUCUUAAAUCAAAUGCUACUAUGUAUUUGUUAUAUUUCCCCAUCAAAGGCUAGAUGUACUAGAACUAAGCCAGUGUUUAGGCUGACUACAUAUUCUUGCUGGGGAAAUAUCACAGCUGACACCUCAGAAACACCACUUCAGGUUGCUCUGUAGUCAAGAAAGACUGUACUACCAUGUGGGCGAUGAGGUAAAAUCUAUGAUUUUAUCUGGAAUUUAAAUAUAAGUAUCCUGUGAGGACUGUUCCAUUACUUCUCCCUUUCAGGCAUUUCAUAUACAUGAUCCUUUUUAUUUCUGUUCCCUCCCUUCAGUAAACUACUAAUAAAUACUCCUGUUGUUUAUCUGAGGUUAAAUUAGGUUUUGACUGCUUGGACUGGGAAACAUUACUGACUUGCACUCCUGAAAGGAACUCAUCUGCUUGCUCCAAGUAGACAGAGAAGAGUGAACAUAAGAGCCUGUAAAUGGGUCAGUAACAUGUAAUCUGCUAGCAGUGUCAGCCAGGGGCCUAGGAGAGAUGGGUAAGAGAGUGAACUCAAGAAAACCAAAUGCCCUAAGGGUACAAAGUUCCACUGUAUAUAUUAAAGUGAACUAUCAGCCUCAGUCGCCUCUGGAAAAAGUAACAUCCAUUCAAAUAAACAUAAUGCUGGAAUAUGACAUAUAAUGCAGCUAAACUUCACUAGAAAAUUUAGCAAGUUUUUGUUGCAGCAAUUAGCAGUAAAAAGACUAACGUUAUUGACAUUGAAGUGAUCAUAAUUGAUAUUGAUUUUAAUACCUAUUGAAGUAAAUAAGUGGUGUUGCCUCACUAUCCUCAGACUCGGCAGGAGAGCUAUCCCUUAUCUAUUGUCACAGCUUUCAUAAACAGUUAAGGGGCUAGAAACUUUUUUCACCCCAGUUAGAAGCUUAUUCUCUGAAGACUUCUGUUAAAAUCCUCUGAAUGUUCAUGUUUUAAAUCUCAUUACUGCAGAUUUCUAUUCUUCUGGUAUUUCCAUUUAUAUUUUUAAUGUCAUGCUUUCUAAAUGCCAAAUCCUUGUCCCACUGGAAUCAGUGGAAGUUUUGCAGUUGAUUUUAAUACCAAAUUUUGGCCCUAUAUAUUAAACCCAGGGGAGUAGUAGAAAAGACGAAAGUGACCCAGUGUUAUGCUGUUAGGAAUAUUAGAUAUUUCUGGUUGGGAAAGGAAUCUACCUCUUGCAGCUGCAGCCUGCAGCCUGGGUGAUGGAAGGAGAGAGGAAGGUUUCUGCUUUCCAUUGUCGAUCUGAGCUCUUCUACUCCAAGUAGAAAUUGAAAACUAGCCUGUGUUGAGAAACAGUCACUUAAACAAAGUCCUGAUGUUAUCAGAAUCUCUUUUUAAAGACUCUGUGCCAUGUCCUUUGUUACAUUAAAAUAUUUUUGACUGAACAACUCUGGUAAAGGUGAAUGAUAAAGUAAAAGAAUAUUUUUGAA